CCAAUAGCGUAUAUUAAAGUUGUUGCAGUUAAAAAGCUCGUAGUUGAAUUUCGGGGUUAGUAGGUUGGUCAUGCCUCUGGUAUGUACUGGUCUCACUGAUUCCUCCUUCCUGAUGAGCCGUAAUGCCAUUAAUUUGGUGUUGCGGGGAAUUUGGACUGUUACUUUGAAAAAAUUAGAGUGUUUAAAGCAAGCUAACGCUUGAAUACAUUAGCAUGGAAUAAUGAAAUAGGACGUUCGAUCCUAUUUUGUUGGUUUCUAGGAUUGACGUAAUGAUUAAUAGGGAUAGUUGGGGGCAUUAGUAUUCAAUUGUCAGAGGUGAAAUUCUUGGAUUUAUUGAAGACUAACUACUGCGAAAGCAUUUGCCAAGGAUGUUUUCAUUAAUCAAGAACGAAAGUUAGGGGAUCGAAGACGAUCAGAUACCGUCGUAGUCUUAACCAUAAACUAUGCCGACUAGGAAUCAGACGAUGUUAAUUUUUUAAUGACUCGUUUGGCACCUUACG
rnacentral:rRNA from 1 species